rnacentral:rRNA from 1 species
CCUACGGGAGACAGCAGUGAGGAAUAUUGGUCAAUGGGCUUACGCCUGAACCAGCCAAGUCGCGUGAGGGAAGACUGCCCUAUGGGUUGUAAACCCCUUUUGCCAGGGAGCAAUUUGCGCUACGUGUAGCGUUAUCGAGAGUACCUGCAGAAAAAGCAUCGGCUAACUCCGUGCCAGCAGCCGCGGUAAUACGGAGGAUGCGAGCGUUAUCCGGAUUUAUUGGGGUAAAAGGGUGCGUAGGCGGAAUGCCAAGUCAGCGGUAAAAUCGCGGGGCUCAACCGCGCUCCGCCGUUGAAACUGGCGUUCUUGAGUGGGCGAGAGGUAUGCGGAAUGCGUGGUGUAGCGGUGAAAUGCGUAGAUAUCACGCGGAACACCAGUUGCGAAGGCAGCAUACCGG